UCUGGCCGUUGAGAGGAGGAAAAACGGCAGCCAGCACACGGUGAAGGCCCCGACGAUGAUCCCCAAGGUGGUGGCUGCUUUCUGUUCCCUCUUAAAGAUGGAGAUGUUUUUCCUUUCGUGUUUGAGGAGUCUUGAAAGGGUAGGUCAGUGGCCUUGUGAUCCCAAGGUACCUGGGAGAGAAAUGGAAAAAGAACGUGACUGCCAUGAUCACAGUGGAUCCAGUGAGGAAUACCACCAGCCAGGGGCUAGGCUGUGUACCUAGCAGCUCCCUUCUUCACAACAGCCCUUCCAGAAUGAUUAUGCUAAAAGAACAAGAAGUGCAAAAAUAAUUCUGCCUCAUGUUUUCAUAGCAUUUGAAUAAUACUGGCUGAUACUUACUGAGCAUACAGCAAUGCCAGGCUCUGUGAUAACAGCAUUGGAUUCAGUCCUUACCCUAAAAGGUAGCUAUUAUCCCCAUUUUACGAAUGAGGAAUUUGAGGCUCCGAGAGGUUAACUUACUCUCCCAAUGUCACAUAGUUAAUAAAGCUCA